rnacentral:rRNA from 1 species
GACGAACGCUGGCGGCGUGCUUAACACAUGCAAGUCGAACGGUAAGGCCCCUUCGGGGGUACACGAGUGGCGAACGGGUGAGUAACACGUGGGUGAUCUGCCCUGCACUUCGGGAUAAGCCUGGGAAACUGGGUCUAAUACCGGAUAGGACCACGCUCUGCAUGGAGUGUGGUGGAAAGCUUUUGCGGUGUGGGAUGGGCCCGCGGCCUAUCAGCUUGUUGGUUGGGUGAUGGCCUACCAAGGCGACGACGGGUAGCCGGCCUGAGAGGGUGUCCGGCCACACUGGGACUGAGAUACGGCCCAGACUCCUACGGGAGGCAGCAGUGGGGAAUAUUGCACAAUGGGCGCAAGCCUGAUGCAGCGACGCCGCGUGGGGGAUGACGGCCUUCGGGUUGUAAACCUCUUUCAGUACCGACGAAGCGCAAGUGACGGUAGGUACAGAAGAAGCACCGGCCAACUACGUG